rnacentral:tRNA from 1 species
GCGGGAUUGGUGGAAUUGGCAGACACGCCAGACUUAGAAUCUGGUGGGCGACCAUGCAGGUUCAAGUCCUGUAUCCCGCA